GUGCCAGCAGCCGCGGUAAUACGUAGGGCGCAAGCGUUGUCCGGAAUUAUUGGGCGUAAAGAGCUCGUAGGCGGUUUGUCGCGUCUGCUGUGAAAACCUAAGGCUCAACCUUGGGCUUGCAGUGGGUACGGGCAGACUAGAGUGCGGUAGGGGUGACUGGAAUUCCUGGUGUAGCGGUGGAAUGCGCAGAUAUCAGGAGGAACACCGAUGGCGAAGGCAGGUCACUGGGCCGCAACUGACGCUGAGGAGCGAAAGCAUGGGGAGCGAACAGGAUUAGAUACCCUGGUAGUCC
rnacentral:rRNA from 1 species